rnacentral:lncRNA from 1 species
UAGAGUUAAUGAAAUGAAGAUCGGUAGGCGGACAAGUGGUGGCUGGUCUACAGAAGAGUUGCCGAUGAGGGUUGGUGCCGAUGGGAAAACAACCGAAUAUGACCAAGUCCAGGAGUGGUGAUACGUUCGUGCCAGUGACUAGUGCUGAUGGUUGCCGAUGGCUGUGAAAGGUGGUCUGCCGAUGCUUAUGAAGAAAAGCGCA